UAUAUUUCUAUUUGCGCAUACUGAUUCUGUAUAUAAGCUGAGUGACUGCCGAAACGAUUCACUUUGAAUUGAGCUGACUAAAGGAAUCUUUCAAGCAAUCAGAAUGAUUAUAGUUUGGUUUGCAAUCCUCUCAAUGAUUUUAAUCUAUAAAAGAUGGAGUAUAUAUAGAGUGAAUAUUGUGCACAAGUAAUGAUGACUGUUGUGGAGCAUUUAUAUGCAAUGCAAGGUCUAGUCGUUGCGCUGGAGGACCGAGAAUAAGGGGAUCAAGACAACCAGGGGGGCCAUGG